rnacentral:lncRNA from 1 species
GGGGCCCACUUAGCCCAUCGGUCAGUGGCUUUAGAAACCCUUAGUCAUUAAGAAACCCUGAAGCCCUUAUGUCUGAGUUUUCAGGUAGACUGAAGGGAAAGGCCAAGAACCAACAAUUCAUGGAUGAAAAAUAUCCACCUAAUUAACAAUUAAGUAACAAUGUUCGCAAAAAGCAAAAGGCUUUGUCACUGGCUGAUAUUGAUCAGUUCACUUCGGUCAAAAGCAUAGUUUUCUGGAGCCGGCGCCUUGAACAACCUCCCCCAGCUGGAUGGGACUCCGAUUACCAGCCCGACAGAGGAACAAAAGGAGGAGCAGAGACUCCUGGUGUCCUGUAUCCUGUCACACGGUCUUGAACCUCCCCACCAAGGAACAAAGCAACGAGAAAGACGCCUGAAAUCUUCAAUGUCAUUCUUCUUGACGCUCUCCGCAGGCGGUGCUUCUGCGUAGCUGAGAGAGCUCAGGUUCUAGAAUCAGCCAGAACUGGGUUUGGACCCCAGAUUGGCUGUCUCUAGCUGUGUGCUCUUACGUUGGCUACUGCAUAUUUCCGAGCUCUAGUUUCUUCUGCUGACAAAUGGGACAAGAUACACGCACCUCAAGGUGAGGCCGAGGAUUCAGUGUGACGACGUAAGAGAGCCCGGCACGCUACCUGGUUCAGGACCCAGUCGCCUCACAUCACCUCUUGACACGUUCACUUCUCAGAGGCCCCCAAGGGCAUGCCCAUCUAGAGAUCAGACGGACACGGUUAUUUCUGAUCAGAUGCCCUUCUCCCAGAUCUCUGGGGACAGAUGAAGAAAGAUCUUGCCCCACUCUGAGCAUGCCCAGACGAAUCUGCCCCCUGUGGGAUUCCCAGUCCACUCCCACCGGGGCCUCACGCAACCCAUCGUGGACCAGUUUGAGAAUCGCCCCACAACCGAGUGAUACAAAACCAGAACCGUAACCCAUCUGAAGAGAGACCUCAAACUUCACUUUUUAAUCAACUGGAAAUUUGGACAAAACUUCUGUUGACAUUAUAUCUGCCUCCUUCACUUUCAGUUCAGGGAGACUCAUUGACCUUUCUUAAAGGACGUGACUCUCUUUGACUGGCAAGCAAUUAAUUCAUGCCUACACAUUUAGACUACUCUGGUUGUCUUUCUUCCACGUCACGAUUGAACGCUAUGUUUUCUUGAUUUUUCCAGCUGAAAGUAAUCCUCUUUUCUUCCGAACCCUUUCAGCACUCCCUCAUUUUUUAUUCACUCAGUUAACAAAUAUCCAGGCAUUAUUACUAUACCUGGCACUGCUGCUAUUGUAAGUGGGUUAUGGUAGUGAGGAAAGCAGACGAAUAGAUUGUGAGAGAAAUCCCUGACCUUGUGGCUCUUAGAUCGUCUACAGGGGGAGACAGGCAAUAAACACCAAAAGGUAACAUAUGAAGGAUGUUAG